rnacentral:ncRNA from 1 species
GAAAGUCCAAAGAGAAGGAAUAGUAAAUAAAAUAAGCUUUAAUAAAGAGAGUUUAGGAUGGUGAGAUCUAAGCAAGAAGGAUUUUAUUGAAUGGGCCUUUGAGGAAUAAUAGGAAAUCUAGAAAUAGAAAGUAAAAAUUAUUGGGAACCUCCCAUUAUAGAGGUUAGAGUAUGAUAGUACUUGAAAAGAGAGGUGUUUUUCUUAUACAUAAAAACACAAUUUAGGUGGCAACGCGGAACUUUCGUCCUAUGU